GACGAACGCUGGCGGCGUGCUUAACACAUGCAAGUCGAACGGUAAGGCCCUUCGGGGUACCCGAGUGGCGAACGGGUGAGUAACACGUGGGUAAUCUGCCCUGCACUUCGGGAUAAGCCUGGGAAACUGGGUCUAAUACCGGAUAUUCAGUUCCUGCCGCAUGGUGGGGGUUGGAAAGUUUUUCGGUGCAGGAUGAGCCCGCGGCCUAUCAGCUUGUUGGUGGGGUAAUGGCCUACCAAGGCGACGACGGGUAGCCGGCCUGAGAGGGUGAUCGGCCACACUGGGACUGAGACACGGCCCAGACUCCUACGGGAGGCAGCAGUGGGGAAUAUUGCACAAUGGGCGAAAGCCUGAUGCAGCGACGCCGCGUGAGGGAUGACGGUCUUCGGAUUGUAAACCCCUUUCAGUAGGGACGAAGCGCAAGUGACGGUACCUGCAGAAGAAGCACCGGCCAACUACGUG
rnacentral:rRNA from 1 species